rnacentral:rRNA from 1 species
UACGGAGGGGACUAGCGUUGUUCGGAAUUACUGGGCGUAAAGCGCACGUAGGCGGAUUUGUAAGUCAGGGGUGAAAUCCCGGGGCUCAACCUCGGAACUGCCUUUGAUACUGCAAAUCUCGAGUCCGGAAGAGGUGAGUGGAAUUCCGAGUGUAGAGGUGAAAUUCGUAGAUAUUCGCAAGAACACCAGUGGCGAAGGCGGCUCACUGGCCCGAUACUGACGCUGAUGCACGAAAGCGUGGGGAACAAACAGG